rnacentral:rRNA from 1 species
GGAAUGCGGGUGCUACGUGCAGUCGAGCGGUGAAGCCAAGCUUGCUUGGUGGAUCAGUGGCGAACGGGUGAGUAACACGUGAGCAACCUGCCCUGGACUCUGGGAUAAGCGCUGGAAACGGUGUCUAAUACUGGAUAUGAGCUUUCACCGCAUGGUGGGGGUUGGAAAGAUUUUUCGGUCUGGGAUGGGCUCGCGGCCUAUCAGCUUGUUGGUGAGGUAAUGGCUCACCAAGGCGUCGACGGGUAGCCGGCCUGAGAGGGUGACCGGCCACACUGGGACUGAGACACGGCCCAGACUCCUACGGGAGGCAGCAGUGGGGAAUAUUGCACAAUGGGCGGAAGCCUGAUGCAGCAACGCCGCGUGAGGGAUGACGGCCUUCGGGUUGUAAACCUCUUUUAGCAGGGAAGAAGCGUGAGUGACGGUACCUGCAGAAAAAGCGCCGGCUAACUACGUGCCAGCAGCCGCGGUAAUACGUAGGGCGCAAGCGUUAUCCGGAAUUAUUGGGCGUAAAGAGCUCGUAGGCGGUUUGUCGCGUCUGCUGUGAAAUCCCGAGGCUCAACCUCGGGCCUGCAGUGGGUACGGGCAGACUAGAGUGCGGUAGGGGAGAUUGGAAUUCCUGGUGUAGCGGUGGAAUGCGCAGAUAUCAGGAGGAACACCGAUGGCGAAAGGCAGAUCUCUGGGCCGUAACUGACGCUGAGGAGCGAAAGGGUGGGGAGCAAACAGGCUUAGAUACCCUGGUAGUCCACCCCGUAAACGUUGGGAACUAGUUGUGGCGACCAUUUCACGGUUUUCGUGACGCAGCUUACGCAUUAGCUCCCCGACUGGGGGAGUACGGCCGCUAAGGCCUAAAACCUCAGAGGAGUG